GUGCUCACUUCAGCAGCACAUACACUAAAAUUGGAACCAUACAGAGAUUAGUAUGGCCCCUGUACAAGAAUGGCAUGCAAAUUAAUGAAUUGUUUUGUAGUUUU